CCAACUAUACUUGUUACCAGAAAUUUUUGUUUUUAGUGACGCAUCCCCUUUAUUGAUGUUCUAUUGUUAUUUAAUCGUGUCGGCGAUGUUAAUGCUAUUUUGUUUCCGAAAAAAGAUAAUGUCAUUUGGAAGAAGCUUCUCUGACAGUGUUACCGGCUUUUUCACAAUAAACUUUACAAAAAUGUCCCAAUGGAGUCUUUCUUGUAAUCUUUACUUUGAAAAUUAUCUAUCAACAAACAGAAAAUUGAAGAUUUAUUACAAUUCGGUAUUCCAAAGGUGAUGUGGAAUAUAGGUGGAACUGAAACAUGUUGAAGGAUAGACACUAGAGAUUCAAGGAAUUAAUUCUUUAAUGAUAAUUAAAGAAUAUAAUAAAUGGAGACACUUAAAUUUUUGAAGACAAUGUUAUAGUUCAACAGGAACAGUUCCUGAAAUGAGGCGGUCAGAUGCAAAGGGAUGUAAGGGACAAAAUUCGGAUUUAGAGAAAGUGAACUUCAUAGUUAAAAUCCUUUAGACAAAUUAAUGGACCAAUGGAAAAUAUGAUUUGAAUUCUUUAUUUGCUUGAACUGUAUUAGCUGUUUUGGCUAUAAAAGCUAUAAAAGCUAAAACUAUAAAAUAUUAAAAUAAUGAUAUAAUAUACAUAUUAAAUAAUUAAAUCGGUAAUCAAUCCAAUGGUCUUAAAUUGCUUCAUUUUUCUAACCUAUACAUUAUUACAAUAAUAAAUUUAACAUUUAUUUAACUUAUUUAAC